GCGGCGUGCUUAACACAUGCAAGUCGAACGGUGAACACGGAGCUUGCUCUGUGGGAUCAGUGGCGAACGGGUGAGUAACACGUGAGCAACCUGCCCCUGACUCUGGGAUAAGCGCUGGAAACGGCGUCUAAUACUGGAUACGAGUAGCGGCCGCAUGGUCAGUUACUGGAAAGAUUUAUUGGUUGGGGAUGGGCUCGCGGCCUAUCAGCUUGUUGGUGAGGUAAUGGCUCACCAAGGCGUCGACGGGUAGCCGGCCUGAGAGGGUGACCGGCCACACUGGGACUGAGACACGGCCCAGACUCCUACGGGAGGCAGCAGUGGGGAAUAUUGCACAAUGGGCGGAAGCCUGAUGCAGCAACGCCGCGUGAGGGAUGACGGCCUUCGGGUUGUAAACCUCUUUUAGCAGGGAAGAAGCGAAAGUGACGGUACCUGCAGAAAAAGCACCGGCUAACUACGUGCCAGCAGCCGCGGUAAUACGUAGGGUGCAAGCGUUAUCCGGAAUUAUUGGGCGUAAAGAGCUCGUAGGCGGUUUGUCGCGUCUGCUGUGAAAUCCGGAGGCUCAACCUCCGGCCUGCAGUGGGUACGGGCAGACUAGAGUGCGGUAGGGGAGAUUGGAAUUCCUGGUGUAGCGGUGGAAUGCGCAGAUAUCAGGAGGAACACCGAUGGCGAAGGCAGAUCUCUGGGCCGUUACUGACGCUGAGGAGCGAAAGGGUGGGGAGCAAACAGGCUUAGAUACCCUGGUAGUCCACCCCGUAAACGUUGGGAACUAGUUGUGGGGUCCAUUCCACGGAUUCCGUGACGCAGCUAACGCAUUAAGUUCCCCGCCUGGGGAGUACGGCCGCAAGGCUAAAACUCAAAGGAAUUGACGGGGACCCGCACAAGCGGCGGAGCAUGCGGAUUAAUUCGAUGCAACGCGAAGAACCUUACCAAGGCUUGACAUAUACGAGAACGGGCCAGAAAUGGUCAA
rnacentral:rRNA from 1 species